CAGCAGUCGCCGCGGUAAUACGAAGGGGGCUAGCGUUGCUCGGAAUGACUGGGCGCAAAGGGCGCGUAGGCGGCUUGUACAGUCAGAUGUGAAAUUCCUGGGCUCAACCUGGGGACUGCAUUUGAGACGUACGGGCUUGAGUGGAGAAGAGGGUCGUGGAAUUUCCAGUGUAGAGGUGAAAUUCGUAGAUAUUGGAAAGAACACCGGUGGCGAAGGCGGCGACCUGGUCUUUAACUGACGCUGAGGCGCGAAAGCGUGGGGAGCAAACAGGAUUAGAUACCCCGGUAGUCCCUGUCUCUUAUAA
rnacentral:rRNA from 1 species